ACCUGGGUACAACAAUUUUUGGUGAUCAUCUAUCAUGCGCUGCAACUUUGCUGCUUCCUUCUCAGUUUCGCAAUCUCUGUAUGCAUCUCGUAUCACCUGACCAAGGUCAUCAGUAGGGCCAUUUUCUGCAAACUCAUAUUCAUCAGCCUCGCCCAUUGUAGUACCUGCAAAAGCUUGGCCUGCAACCUAGUCCGGAAUGGUGUCAUCUUCCUCCUCCUCCUCGCCAUCUUCCAUUACGACCCCUAGUUCACCGUGCUUGGUCCAAACUAAAUAGUUAGGCAUGAAACCGUAUUUAAACAAGUGGUUGUGAAUAGUCCCCCAGG
rnacentral:lncRNA from 1 species